rnacentral:rRNA from 1 species
GAUGGACGCUGGCGGCGUGCUUAACACAUGCAAGUCGAACGAUGAAGCCCAGCUUGCUGGGUGGAUUAGUGGCGAACGGGUGAGUAACACGUGAGUAACCUGCCCUUAACUCUGGGAUAAGCCUGGGAAACUGGGUCUAAUACCGGAUAGGAGCGUCCACCGCAUGGUGGGUGUUGGAAAGAUUUAUCGGUUUUGGAUGGACUCGCGGCCUAUCAGCUUGUUGGUGAGGUAAUGGCUCACCAAGGCGACGACGGGUAGCCGGCCUGAGAGGGUGACCGGCCACACUGGGACUGAGACACGGCCCAGACUCCUACGGGAGGCAGCAGUGGGGAAUAUUGCACAAUGGGCGCAAGCCUGAUGCAGCGACGCCGCGUGAGGGAUGACGGCCUUCGGGUUGUAAACCUCUUUCAGUAGGGAAGAAGCGAAAGUGACGGUACCUGCAGAAGAAGCACCGGCUAACUACGUG